CUUAACGCGUAGUCAAAAUGGUAGAUAUAUUGAACGGUAAUUGUCAUUCUUCGUUGAAAAUUGAAUGCAUUUUCUCCAGUUUCAUUCCAAAUUAAUAAAAUUCUCCAUGAGAUGCGACGAUGGAGAGUUCAUUCGGAAAGGUAAAAUUUGGAAUGGCUACUAAACCAAGCAAAGCUAAACAAAGAUAUAUUGCUCGAGACUAUAAAGGGAUGUCAAAAGAUGAUCUACGUCAGGAAUUGCGGAAACGUGGUAUAAAGAUUAGCGGUAAAAAGGCUGAUUUGGCAUUCCUUUUUGAUGUCUUAUAAUGAGUAUUGGGACUAAUCUAAUGCUGGUUUACUUUGCAGACUAUUUUUUUUUUUUUUUUGAAUUCUGCGUCGCUGACUGCUGAUAAUAAUUCUGCUGCUGGGCCCGGGUCUUUCAUUUAUAUUUAUAUAGGUAAUAGUAAAAUGACAGGAGUAAAGUAUAUAAUCAUUUUAAGACAUUUAAAGAAUAUGGUACAUCUUCAAUAAGUUCCAGAAUACCAAUUUCAAUUUUGUUUCACUUUGACAAAUACUGGAAAAUGGGCUUCUCAAUCUCCCCAAAAUGUUAUCUUUUUCUGAAGUAGCUAGUCAAACAAACCUAUUUUUCUCUUGUGGCUUCAUAAAAUUGGUUUGCCUUUUUCAACUUCUUACUGAAAUGUGCUUUUGGUGCUUCAUGUUUUUUUUUCUCUGUUACAAGAUCCUUUACAGAAAAAGGUCCCCUAAAAAGGAUCCCAUCAUUUGGUCUUCGAGAAAACUGCUGCAUGAACUGAACAUCAAUUGUUCUCAAAAACUAAAUGGUGGUCUCCAGCUAUAAGGUGGGGAAAGAAAAAAAAUAAUUCAAGUCAAAAAGUUCAGAAUAAAGGUUUAUCUUAAACUUUUGUUAGUAUCAAAAUAAAAACAAUCAAUGCAAUGCCUACUGUGUUGAUCCCCCCCCCCCCCCCACAUGUAGUACAUAUCUUCGCCUCAGAGCAACACUAAGACAUCUAAUCCCGGGAAUAACACUAAGAGCCGCUCUGAAGAGAUGAUAUUCUAUUUCAGAUUCUUUUUCUUUUCUUUUUUUUUUUUUUUAAAUUUUGUGUAGCUCUGUAAACUCGAUUUUCAUCAGCUAAUGAACUCCACUACCUCUGCAUCUUCAUUUGAAAAAAUUUGCAUGCUAUGCUGCUGUAGGCAGUUUGUUUCUAAGGUUAUUUUGGAGCUGUUUAAUUUAUUAGACAGGUAAAAAUGGAAUAAAAUUAGAAGAAAAAGUGUACUCUUUCGUUUCUUGUCCCAAAAGAUAGCACCUAUUAGAAGAGAUCAUAUUGAGGGGGGGGGGGAUUAGCAUUAAGAAUUAUGUGGAAUACCUUUUUUUUUUAAUCUUUCAAUUCUAGGUUUUUCUUAGUAAUCUUAACACAAAUUCAAAAAAAAAAAAAGAUUGUUUUAAAGGAUUUCAACUUGCACAACUGGUUGCUCAGCAAGACAAUUGCAAUUAUUUGGUGUAUCUCCUUGACUCUUCUGAAUUUGUUCACACCACAAUAGGUGUUUUUUUCAAGGAUAUCCCAUGCUGGCUCCUUUUUGUUUUCUUUUUUUGGAGAUAAAUGCAUGCUUGCUACCCUCCUCCUGAGGUAAAUUUGUCCCUUACUUCAUUUUUUAUGAAGAAAAAAAAAGAUGUCCUUAGCAUUUUGAAAAAAUGAGUUAAUCUUUCUGCCUUUUUUAAAAAAUAGAAAUCAAGAUGACAGUUUUUCCCGUUGCCUGAUAUAAAAACAGAAAAUGACCUUUCGGCAGAGCUUCUAUCCGCACAAAAUAAUGGAUUGACUCCUCACACAAAUGGUGGUGAAAGCUGUUAAUGGUCAAAACAAAACAAAUCAAAUUAAGGGGUGUGGGGGGAAUCUCAGAUUAAAACAUUUAAGAACAUUAAAAAUUAAACUUGCAUUUUGUUUAAGUUCAGAUCUAUGGAAACAAGUACAUUUUAUUUAUCUUUAUCUUCCAACUUCAAUAGUAAAAAAAAGAGAGAGACUAGUUUGUAAAGCAGUGGGGGGACUUCAUUGCUGGUUAGAGGGCAAGUGGCAUUUUGGAAUGACGCAUUUUUCAUUGUUAAACUCUAAGCCUCUCUCAGUAAUCCAUUUUUCUAAUGUUAUUUUGUCUAUUUAUUUAAGUUUUGAGAAACUUAAGUUUUGAAACCCUUGUGUAAUUACUUUUUCUUGAAUUUAUUUGUGUUGAUUUGUAUUGUUACUAUGUGUACCACUUAUACUUAUUUAAUUAUUUUUUUUUAAUUCUAUUUUGUUAGUUAUUUUAUGUUUUUAUUAUUUAAAAAAAACAAUUGCAAGUUUAUUUUAUU